ACGCUGGCGGCGUGCUUAACACAUGCAAGUCGAACGAAGAGCGAUAGAAAGCUUGCUUUUUCUACAAUCUAGUGGCAAACGGGUGAGUAACGCGUAAACAACCUGCCCUACGGAUGGGGGCAACAGCUGGAAACGGCUGCUAAUACCGAAUACGUUCCGAAAGUCGCAUGACUGUCGGAAGAAAGGAUGGCCUCUAUUUAUAAGCUAUCGCCGGAGGAGGGGUUUGCGUCUGAUUAGCUAGUUGGAGGGGUAACGGCCCACCAAGGCGACGAUCAGUAGCCGGUCUGAGAGGAUGAACGGCCACAUUGGAACUGAGACACGGUCCAGACUCCUACGGGAGGCAGCAGUGGGGAAUCUUCCGCAAUGGGCGAAAGCCUGACGGAGCAACGCCGCGUGAGUGAAGACGGCCUUCGGGUUGUAAAGCUCUGUUAUACGGGACGAAUAAUCUUGUGUUAAUACCCAUGAGAAGUGACGGUACCGUAAGAGAAAGCCACGGCUAACUACGUGCCAGCAGCCGCGGUAAUACGUAGGUGGCGAGCGUUGUCCGGAAUUAUUGGGCGUAAAGGGCGCGCAGGCGGCUUCUUAAGUCUGUCUUAAAAGUGCGGGGCUUAACCCCGUGAUGGGAUGGAAACUGGGAAGCUAGAGUAUCGGAGAGGAAAGCGGAAUUCCUAGUGUAGCGGUGAAAUGCGUAGAUAUUAGGAAGAACACCAGUGGCGAAGGCGACUUUCUGGACGAAAACUGACGCUGAGGCGCGAAAGCCAGGGGAGCGAACGGGAUUAGAUACCCCGGUAGUCCUGGCCGUAAACGAUGGGUACUAGGUGUAGGAGGUAUCGACCCCUUCUGUGCCGGAGUUAACGCAAUAAGUACCCCGCCUGGGGAGUACGACCGCAAGGUUGAAACUCAAAGGAAUUGACGG
rnacentral:rRNA from 1 species